CUCUACGGCCAUAUCACGUUGAAAACACCGGUUCUCGUUCGAUCCCUGAAGUUAAGUAGCGUCAAACUACUUAAGUUAAGGUGUUGCAAACAUCUUAAAUUAGGCGCAGGCAUAGCAG
rnacentral:rRNA from 1 species